AAAGGACAAACGUUGCAGUGGGAUCUCAGCCAGCUGACUCGUCCUAAUAAUUUCCAAAGAAUGGGAGCAUUUUAUCGGACUAGGAUGGUCUGGGGUGGAUGCUGGGAGUGGGUAAUCUAUCAUGUAAUAUAGAUGAGGAUCAGAAUAGAAUGAUCCAUAUCAUUCGCAAGUAACUUAAUCAAGUUUGGUUUCUUUAAUAUCAUUUAUUCUAUAGACUUUUCUUUGUUGUGCCAUCAUUUGAGAUUUAAAAUUGAACGUUCUAAACAAUUAUUGAUUGAUCAUUUUAGUAAAAUGAUAUUAAUUAAUGUGAAAUGCUGGUUGCUGUUCAAGGAAAACAAAUUUGUUAUUCUUUUCUACGGCGGUCGGGUACAUAAAUCAAGCAAAAAUAGGAAAUUGAUGGCAAUUUGCAUACUUAAAAUGCUUUCAUUCCAACCAUACCACCUACAACUGUUCAGUCCGCGUCUCUUGGGUCACUAAAAGAAAAUGAACCAUUUUGCUACACAAAUAGGCAAAAUUGUAGAUGAAUUUAUCUAACCAAAUGCAUGCGAGGAUAAUGUACAAAAGUGCUAUUCAUAUGCACUAGGCAGAGAGCACCAUACUGGCUGUUGUCCCACCUUGCAUGGUUUUCCUUGGCAUCAUAUGCCUACCCAUAUGAUCCCAAGUAAUAAGUGGUUUCGAAGGAGAAUGGAUUACAUGGAGGGCUAUUUGUUAAGACUUAAAAGACUCCAUCGAAUGGUGGUUAAUGAAAAAUGAUUGGUUGAAAUAAAAUGCCACACGCUAUAGUGCACAGAUAGAGAUGAAAGGAGGAAAUGAACUCAACUUCUGAGAAAAUAUAGUUUCCAACUAUGGGCAUGGAAGUUGACAAUGGUCACUUUGUUGCAAUCUAUCCCAUUUCAUCACCAUUCCCAACAGUAAAGUCUCCCUACCUCGUGUCACUUCUGAAUGUGCGUACCUUCACUCUUUAUAAAUUGUUGAGAAAUGACAUUCUAAGUGUGUGAUUUUUCCACUACUGGUUUUCCAAUAUUGCAGGUGGACUAAUGGAUAUUCUAAACAGAUACAAUACCAACAAUAAAGUGUCUCACAGGUUGUGCCACUUUGAAAGAGCAAACUGACUAUUCCCUGAUAGAGUGAAGGUGGGAAGGAGGAACGCAGAGCAAAACAACUAUUUUAGAUUUUUAGGUUGUGGUCCUCCAAUAUUUUCUACUAUUUUAGGGAGGGAGGAAGUGACUAGAGAGGGAGGAAGAGAGGAAGGGAGGGUGUGGUCUCGGGUUCCAGCAAAGCUAACCUGUCAAAAGAGAAAGAAGAGGAGGGAGUGAGCCAUAGGUAAACCCUCCUAAAUUUCAAAUAUUUUAAAAAAUAUUCCAAAAACCCCCACCCUCCUAAAAUUUCAAAUAUUUUAGGACAGUCUACUGAUGAAGAAAAUUCCAAUAUUUCUGAAACAAAACAACUAAUGAAGAAAAUUCUCCUUCAAAUCUUCAAAAAAAAGAAAAGAAAAGAAAAGAAAAGAAAAAUUCCUUCAACCUAUCUUGAACAGGGCUUUCCAAAAGUCUAAAAGAGAUCAGGACCUCAAUUCUAUAACAUUGACGAUCAUUAGUUUGCCAAUGCUUAUACCAUACCAAGUUAGUUACCAAAGCCAGCAUAUAUUAUGUUUUUUUCAACUUAUACUCUUAUCUUGUUUUAUACUCUAUUUGUGUUCCCUCUACUGGGGCGAGGGUGCCAACCAACUCCAAUUCACCACCAUCAGGCCAUACAGUAACAUAAGCAAAAAACCAAAGGUAGCAGGCAAAACUACAGGGAGGGAAAUGUUUAAGUUGGACCUAAAAAUAUAAUCGUCUCGACUUGCUUUCAAUUCUCUCCACUGGAAGACAAGGAACAACUGAUGCGGCACCAAUCAUGUCUAUUGUUAGCAAUUGUUCCUUUGAAACACACACACACACACACACACACACACACACACACACUCACUCUUCAAGGACCAAACAGAGCCUUUCAAGUGCUAUUGAGAUUUACCAGCAGUUCAAAGGAAGCAGCUCCAACAUCCACACUUAGUCAAACUCAUCAAGGGUGUCUUUCACCAACACAGCAGUGAUUGGCUGAACAUAUUUCUUCAACCUCUAUAAAUAUCGUAGUCUAGGUGAAUAGCUAUGGAAACCAGAUUUUGUUCAGAAUUAUGCUAUCCAUGUAAAUUUCUAGUUCACCAAAACUGCAAGUUCUCAUCAUGUAUCUACUAGAAAAAUUAUCUGCAGAAUUUCCUUUAUACUCCAGGCUCGAGAUUUCAAAGCGUAGGCUACAACAAUUUUUAGAUUUCCUUUAAACUCUUGACCUGAGAUUUCAAGUAAAGAGUAGGCUACAACUAGGAUUAUCUCAUCAGAUAGGAAAUCUCAUUUCCCUCACGGAUUUCUUAAUUAAUAUGCAUGCUUCUUGCACAGACUUUAAUGAGGACAUCAGACCGUCAUAUAGGGUCUCAUCUAUCCCUUCUUCCUUUUCUUCAAAGGCCCAUUGUGUUGAUCAUCUGUUUGAUAGGUUGUCUACCUUUGGAGCAAUUAGCUGAGGAUAUGGUCCUUGACAGAGUGGAGUGGCAGAACAGGAUUUGGGUAUCUCACCUAGUUAGUUGGGAUAAGGCUUUAGAUGAUGACAAGGACGACAUCUGUCAGAGCAAUUGGAACAGCGACUGCCAGAAAUUGCUAGAAGUGGGUUGAGGCUAAGCUGCCAGGUACUUGUCCAUGUUGCCCUCUGUUACUUGUUAGCAGGUUGUCUGAUGAUGAUUUGGGCAUAGCUUGGUUAGGAUUAAACAUGUGCAUUCUAUGCUUCACCUUAUAAAGGCAUGCCUAUAUAUUUCUAGUUUUGAGGUUGUAUUAUGUGUUUAAGCAAUUUAUUUGCAACUUCCAUUCUGUGGGGUGUUUUGGCUCCUGGGAAUCCAGCCUCUGGGAAACAGAUUCCAUCAGCAAGGGGCUGAUGUUUGUAUUUGGGUCCUAAGAAAGUGAGAAAUGAGUUCCCAUGAUAACUGUAAAAGGGUAGAUCUUGGGAAAUGGAUUCCCUUCUUAUAGUCA